UACGAAGGAUGCAAGCGUUGUCCGGAUUUACUGGGCGUAAAGGGCGCGUAGGCGGCCAUUCAAGCCAUCUGUGAAAUCUCCGGGCUUAACCCGGAACGGUCAGAUGAUACUGCUUUGCUAGAGUGCGGAAGGGGCAAUCGGAAUUCUUGGUGUAGCGGUGAAAUGCGUAGAUAUCAAGAGGAACACCUGAGGUGAAGACGGGUUGCUGGGCCGACACUGACGCUGACAGCGCGAAAGCCAGGGGAGCAAACGGG
rnacentral:rRNA from 1 species